rnacentral:rRNA from 1 species
GGUUGUUGGCGGGUAACGGCCCACCAAGCCUUUUAUCGGUACGGGUUGUGGGAGCAAGAUCCCGGAGAUGGAUUCUGAGACAUGAAUCCAGGCCCUACGGGGCGCAGCAGGCGCGCAAACUUUACAAUGCGAGCAAUCGUGAUAAGGAAACCCUGAGUGCCUGUCGAUGCAGGCUGUUCAUAUAUCUAAAUCAUAUGUGAAGAAAGGGCAGGGCAAGACCGGUGCCAGCCGCCGCGGUAAUACCGGCUGCUCGAGUGAUGGCCACUAUUACUGGGUUUAAAGCGUCCGUAGCUUGACUGUUAGGUCUCUUGGGAAAUCUUCGCGCUCAACGUGAAGGCGUCUAAGAGAUACCGGCAGUCUUGGAACUGGGAGAGGUAAACCGUACUUCGGGGGUAGGAGUGAAAUCUUGUAAUCCUCGAGGGACGACCUAUGGCGAAGGCAGUUUACCAGAACAGCUUCGACAGUGAGGGACGAAAGCUGGGGGAGCAAACGGGAUUAGAUACCCCGGUAGUCCCAGCCGUAAACAAUGUGCGUUAGGUGUGUCGGUAACCACGUGUUACUGAUGCGCCGAAGAGAAAUCGUGAAACGCACCACCUGGGAAGUACGGUCGCAAGGCUGAAACUUAAAGGAAUUGGCGGGGGAGCACCACAACAGGUGGAGCCUGCGGUUUAA